UACGGAGGGUGCGAGCGUUUAAUCGGAAUUACUGGGCGUAAAGAGUGCGUAGGUGGUUAAUUAAGUUAUCUGUGAAAUCCCUGGGCUUAACCUGGGCAGGUCAGAUGAUACUGAUGGACUCGAGUAUGGGAGAGGGUAGUGGAAUUUCCGGUGUAGCGGUGAAAUGCGUAGAGAUCGGAAGGAACACCAGUGGCGAAGGCGGCUACCUGGCCUAAUACUGACACUGAGGCACGAAAGCGUGGGGAGCAAACAGG
rnacentral:rRNA from 1 species